CCGUCUUGCCCUGUCUGGCGCCCUGUCUGCGCACGCGGUCAGUGACGGGUGCGCCCGAAAGCGCAAGAGAGA
rnacentral:snoRNA from 1 species